rnacentral:rRNA from 1 species
AUGUACUCCAAGUACCAAGGUUGGGCCUGAUUAGUACUUGGAUGGGAGACCUACUGGGAAUACUGGGUGCUGUAGAUG